rnacentral:rRNA from 1 species
UACGAAGGGGGCUAGCGUUGCUCGGAAUCACUGGGCGUAAAGGGCGCGUAGGCGGCCAUUCAAGUCGGGGGUGAAAGCCUGUGGCUCAACCACAGAAUUGCCUUCGAUACUGUUUGGCUUGAGUAUGGUAGAGGUUGGUGGAACUGCGAGUGUAGAGGUGAAAUUCGUAGAUAUUCGCAAGAACACCGGUGGCGAAGGCGGCCAACUGGACCAUUACUGGACGCUGAGGCGCGAAAGCGUGGGGAGCAAACAGG